UUGGGUUAAGUCCCGCAACGAGCGCAACCCUCGCCCUUAGUUGCCAGCAUUUAGUUGGGCACUCUAAGGGGACUGCCGGUGAUAAGCCGAGAGGAAGGUGGGGAUGACGUCAAGUCCUCAUGGCCCUUACGGGCUGGGCUACACACGUGCUACAAUGGUGGUGACAGUGGGCAGCGAGACGGCGACGUCGAGCUAAUCUCCAAAAACCAUCUCAGUUCGGAUUGGACUCUGCAACUCGAGUGCAUGAAGUUGGAAUCGCUAGUAAUCGCGGAUCAGCAUGCCGCGGUGAAUACGUUCCCGGGCCUUGUACACACCGCCCGUCACACCAUGGGAGUUGGCUUUACCCGAAGGUGGUGCGCUAACCUGGCAACAGGAGGCAGCCAACCACGGUAGGGUCAGCGACUGGGGUGAAGUCGU
rnacentral:rRNA from 1 species